CGCAGCACGCCGCGUGAAUGAAGAAGGCCUUAGGGUUGUAAAGUUCUGUUUUCUGGGACGAUAAUGACGGUACCAGAGGAGGAAGCCACGGCUAACUACNUGCCAGCAGCCGCGGUAAUA
rnacentral:rRNA from 1 species